UUUUUUUUUUUUUUUGAGUCAGGGGUCUGCCUCUGUCAUGCAGGCUGGUAUGCAGCAGUGCCAUGAUCCAGCCUCAAAAUCCUGGGAUCAAGCAAUCCUAUGACCUUAGCCUCCCAAACAGCUGGGACUACAGGCAUGUGCCACCAUGUCUGGCUAAUUUUUAUUUUUAUUUUUUGAAGAGAUGGGGUCUUGCUAUGUUGUCUAGGCUGGUCUCAAGCUCCUGGGCUCUCACAACCCUCCUGCCUGAAUCUCUGGAAGUGAUGGAAUUACAGGAAUAAGCCACUGCUCCUGGCCUUCCACUUUUAUCUGUUUCAUAUAUUUGGCUUUCCUGUAAAAUAUCUUCCAAGAGAUUUAGCAGGAAUCUAUUGGGGCCUACUCUGGGCUUUCACAAUCCCGUGGCUGUUAAUGGAUGACUCCCAAGGUCCCUUUUGCCAUUAACAUUCUCGUAGUUAAAAAUGUGGUUCUACAAUAGUUUGCCUUUCAGAGCAGCAGAGAAAAAGUGGGGUGUCCUAUGGUCUGAUUGCCAUCUCUACCUUGCGAGUGGUCAUUAGAGGAACCCAAAUCCUCAAACCCUGUAACAAACAUAGAAUUCUUUUUUCCCCCUCCUUAUUGGUCCAGAUUUAUUGAUCUGGUUUCAAAUAAAAUAAUAUAGAUGCUAAUCAGAGGAAACAACAACUUUGUGCUCUUCCAACUAUCUUAAUGCAGCUUAAUGCAGUUUUUCAUCAGAAUAUUUUUAAAAUUUAAAGACAUGUUUACUGUUUUUCCUCAAUAUAAAGAUCAUUCAUGCACAUAUGAAGGUCAGAACAUUUUUUAAAAAGUAAAAUGUGAAUAAUCUCAUUGACUCAGAGUUGAUGAUGAUGUUCACAUUUAUUGAAUGUGCCAGAUUGUGUUGUGAACACUUUGUAUGUCUUAUUUAAUUACACUAUAUGUAGCCCAUUGCUGCAUGAUGAGCAGGCUGUGAAAUUGAAUGCCCCCAAAAGGAAUUUAGCAUUAUUAGACAAGAUCCCACACUAAGAGGAAAGGAAAGGUGAAACUCAACUGAGUUUUCCUGGGAGCUGGUUGCUGAGGUGGUUGUAAGGAAGACUCUGGCCUAAAAAGCUCAAGUCCACAGGUUGAAUGCGGGCCCUUUCUUUCUUCAUUCCUGCCUUUUCUUCUACUCCCCAGGCCUGUGAAACAUCCUCAGAUCUUUGCCUUUGUCCCCCAGGUAUGAGUCUCUCCACCUGUAACAGAGGAUUGUCCCUGUCCUCUGGAACUUAGCUCUGGUGUGAAGACAAGAUAGCUCGGGGAAAGAAAUGCUGAGUUUUGAGUCAGAACACAGCACACAGGGAAGGAAUUAAUUGAGAAUUCUUCCCAAACUGUAAGAUCACUGCUCAGCCAUGUUAUCAGAAGAACAUACGGGAAAACUGUGUCAAUGUCCUUAUGAACUAUGGGAUGGUUUGCUAAUUCCCUGUAGGGAAACAACAGCAGACUCGAAUUUCUUGACUUUUGACUGGUUGUUUAUUUGUGUAUUUACUUUUACAUGUAUGUACUGUCAUGGGAUCCUUAGGGUGUUGCUUUACCAGCUGGAAACCUCUGUGGCUAGCAGUGCCUCUUCUUGGGUUUUGCUCACACCCGCUGGGCUCCUUCUGCCCACUUGGCCCAUCAGGCCCAUCUCCUGCUUCCAGCCCAGAUCCCACACCUGCCAGGGUGUGUGAGUGAGCAAGUGCAGGGUCCAGCCACUGCACACAGCCAGUUGUGCCAGCUGUGGUAGGGCAGGCAGCUCCAGGCGCCAGUACAGGCGCCAGCUCUGUGCAAGGCUGC
ensembl:lncRNA